rnacentral:rRNA from 1 species
CCUGGCUCAGAUUGAACGCUGGCGGCGUGCUUAACACAUGCAAGUCGAGCGAGAAAGCUCUCUUCGGAGAGUGAGUAGAGCGGCGCACGGGUGAGUAACGCGUGGAUAAUCUGCCCUGAAGAUCGGGAUAACAGUUGGAAACGGCUGCUAAUACCGUAUAAUCUGCAUAUUUAACUUUAUGUGGGAAAGAUGGCCUCUACUUGUAAGCUAUCACUUUUGGAUGAGUCCGCGUCUCAUUAGCUUGUUGGUGGGGUAAUGGCCUACCAAGGCAACGAUGAGUAGCUGGUCUGAGAGGAUGAUCAGCCACACUGGGACUGAAACACGGCCCAGACUCCUACGGGAGGCAGCAGUGGGGAAUAUUGCGCAAUGGGGGAAACCCUGACGCAGCGACGCCGCGUGUAGGAAGAAGGCCUUCGGGUCGUAAACUACUGUCAAGAGGGAAGAAACCGUAGAGUAUUAAUACGACUCUGCGCUGACGGUACCUCUAGAGA